AACGAACGCUGGCGGCAUGCCUAACACAUGCAAGUCGAACGAGAUCCUUCGGGGUCUAGUGGCGCACGGGUGCGUAACGCGUGGGAAUCUGCCCUUUGCUUCGGCAUAACAGUUAGAAAUGACUGCUAAUACCGGAUGAUGUCUUCGGACCAAAGAUUUAUCGGCAAGGGAGGAGCCCGCGUAGGAUUAGGUAGUUGGUGGGGUAAAGGCCUACCGAGCCGACGAUCCUUAGCUGGUCUGAGAGGAUGAUCAGCCACACUGGGACUGAGACACGGCCCAGACUCCUACGGGAGGCAGAAGUGGGGAAUAUUGAACAAUGGGCGAAAGCCUGAUCCAGCAAUGCCGCGUGAGUGAUGAAGGCCUUCGGGUCGUAAAGCUCUUUUACCAGGGAUGAUAAUGACAGUACCUGGAGAAUAAGCUCCGGCUAACUCCGUGCCAGCCGCCGCGGUAACAC
rnacentral:rRNA from 1 species